GACCUAGAUUACUUGUGGAUAUCCCCUGACUAGCUGGAUCGUGUGGUAGGCCGCGUAGGUGAUAGUUACGUUGGUCCCCUGUAGUCCACCUCUCGUUAGCAGGACGGGUAGGGUUUAUCGGCCUAAGGAUAAGCAUCCUUUGUGGUGUACUCUUAUCACGUGGUUCGUCCUAGACAUAGACAUACCCCUUUGAAGUAGAGAAACCAUAGUUAUCCUCUCUAUUCUGCUACCAUCGCCCAUAUACUAGAAUUGCUCUACUCUCUAUUCCCAUAUUAUCACUCACUGUUAUCUUACCUUUAAUAUUGUUCUUAUUCGAUUCUACCAUCUUUCCUAUUCACACCUAUUUACUUAUCUUGGUUAAGUUAGAGCGC
rnacentral:lncRNA from 1 species